UGGUAUCCAGAAAGAGGAGAUGGAGUGAUGUAACAGUUAAAACAUGGAUUGUACUUUUUACCUGUUUAUAAACAGACGUGCAGAUCUUAAAGAGGGAUGCAGAGAACUGCUGUAGGCGCAGAUAUGCACUUCCACCUGAUGACCCAGACUGGAAAUAAGCACAGACGAUCUAAGCUGAUAUGGCACAAUCGUCCAACUGGUUAACAACUGGCCGAGACCAGUCAACAUGCUGGGUUGCAGCUCCAACUCCACUACCAAAUUUUCACUGGGAUCAGCAGCUGACUGCAGAAAUAUCUGUCUGGAGUUGAAGAGAACGAUAAGAAAGUUACAAGCUUUGUUUUACCAGUCCUUCGAUGGUGAAGUAGGUGCAGGAUGUCAUGACAUGAGCAUGAAAAAUAUUGUGGAAGAUCUACCUGGAUGCAGUUAAAGAAUCUCCCUACUUUGAUUUCUCUUGUUAGCUAGUUAGCUCACCUCUGGGGAGCUUAUACGAUACCGCGACGUAACCUUUUUACCGCGGCUUAUACGAUACCACAUCUGCAUACCAGUAAUUAUGUGCAAAUAUCAUUUUUGCUUUGAAGCAAUAUCGUUGCUACACUCCUAAAGCAAUGGCUGUCUUCAGGCCUUUUCUGCCUCGUGGGCAAAUCUGCAUACCAGUUAUUAUAUGCAUACUUAAGUUUUGCUUUGAAGCAAUAUCAGUGCUACACUUGUGAAGCAGUGGCAGUGUUUAGGUCUUGUCUGCCUCACUGACUUAUCUGCAUACCAUCUCUUUCUUUGGAGCAGUACAGUUGUAAGAUAAAUCCUGUUUGUAAUUUUAUAAAUUAGUUGCUCAUUAAGGGCUUACGAAGGUUUUGAUGCCUUGCUGGCAUAUCUGCAUACCAGUAAAUAUGUGCAGAUUCAUUUCUUGCUUUGAAGCAAUAUUGUUGCUACACUCCUAAAGCGGUGGCAAUGUUCAAGUCUUUUCUGCCUCGCGGGCAAAUCUGCGUACCAGUAAUUAUGUGCAGAUUUGGCUCUUCCUGAGAUUGUAGGACUGGGUCCAUUGAAUGUAACAAAAAUAAUCGAUGCCUAUUUACAAAUGAAAUGAAGAGUGUGCAUUUUGGUGCAACUCCAUAUAACUGUCGGGUGAUUUCGCUCUGAACUUGUGACACUCUGAUCGGUCUGAAAUAAAUCAAUAUCCCGCCCCUCUGGGAAAAAUUUGCAGCCAGAUUGCACCAUUGCCUGUUACUGUCUGAGAGAUGGCAAUGUCAGGGGUUCAUGACGGUGGUUAAACCUAUUGCGAAUGGGCAGCACAAUUGGGUGUAGGAUAUUCCGAAACCAUUGCACACUCCUGAAUCUGCGGUGGGUUGGUACCCCACGCUAUGUAAGGAGUAGGUUUCUGGGUAAGACUUGGUCCACGUGAAUGGGUCGUGCCUUAAAAAUGAUGAGAAGUUGCGAAUUGACGCCCUGUGAAGUGUCCUUCGACCAACUAGUGCUAAUCCGGUCACUGUCUCCAGGUCACCAUACCUCGGUCAAUGAGCGGGCGAAGCACCCAAUGGCUCCAUCAGGAGUACAUCGUCAACUUCAGCCCGUAGUCAAACCGGUACAUGCACAAAUAUCUUAGUUGAGAGUGGGGGACAUCAGUAAAGUGCUUCUCAUCGGGGUAAUACAGUACCACUGUAUACAAUGACCCCAUUUUUUGUUGGAUUCAUUUCCACUGAGGAGUGGUCGAUAAUGAGAAUUUCAGGCCAGUCUGAUUAUCACCAGUACAGAGGGCAAUUAUCUAAUAGUUAUGUGGCUUUCCUUCAAACUGUAUACUCUUUCAUGUCAAUUGUAAAUUAGUGUUGCCUGGUAGUGUUCAGGGUCUUUUUGUCGAACAGGCACAUCUGCAUACCAGUAAUUAUGUGCAGACUUGGCACUUUCUUUGGAGCAGUACAGUUGUAAGAUAAAUCCUGUUUGUAAUUUUAUAAAUUAGUUGCUCAUUAAGGGCU